GUUCAUUCUAAUUUGAAAAUUUUACCUUUAAAAAAUUGAAUCGCCUACGGUUUAUUGGGUUUUCUGUUUUUUUGCUUUGUUAAACCUCUAUCGUGUCUAGUUUCUACUAAACGACAAACACAAUUGUUCAACAUGUUUCCAAAGUACUCUCCACAUAACAUACCAAUCAAAACUUUGAGCCUUAUGUAUGAACAUUUUCGAAUCUUAUACGGGUUCUUCCAAGAGCAAACCUUAUGCGAUGUAACGUUGAUAUGUGAUGAUGGCGUUCAAAUUUCAGCACAUAAAGCAAUUUUAGCAUCCGCAAGCCCUAUGCUAUUAGCAAUGUUCAAUGGUGGCUUCAAGGAGACCAAAAAAAUUAGUAUACCUAUUAAAGACAUCGAGUCUGGUAUUUUGAAGUCAAUUGUAACUUGUGCAUAUACGUUUCAGAUGGAUAUCCAGGAAAAUAAUCUUGAGAAACUAGUGAGAGCUUCUGACUACUUUCAAUUUAACUAUACUAAGGAUUU